AGCGGAGGAAAAGAAACCAACCGGGAUUGCCUUAGUAACGGCGAGUGAAGCGGCAAAAGCUCAAAUUUGAAAUCUGGUACCUUCGGUGCCCGAGUUGUAAUUUGGAGAGGGCAACUUUGGGGCCGUUCCUUGUCUAUGUUCCUUGGAACAGGACGUCAUAGAGGGUGAGAAUCCCGUGUGGCGAGGAGUGCGGUUCUUUGUAAAGUGCCUUCGAAGAGUCGAGUUGUUUGGGAAUGCAGCUCUAAGUGGGUGGUAAAUUCCAUCUAAAGCUAAAUAUUGGCGAGAGACCGAUAGCGAACAAGUACAGUGAUGGAAAGAUGAAAAGAACUUUGAAAAGAGAGUGAAAAAGUACGUGAAAUUGUUGAAAGGGAAGGGCAUUUGAUCAGACAUGGUGUUUUGUGCCCUCUGCUCCUUGUGGGUAGGGGAAUCUCGCAUUUCACUGGGCCAGCAUCAGUUUUGGUGGCAGGAUAAAUCCAUAGGAAUGUAGCUUGCCUCGGUAAGUAUUAUAGCCUGUGGGAAUACUGCCAGCUGGGACUGAGGACUGCGACGUAAGUCAAGGAUGCUGGCAUAAU
rnacentral:rRNA from 1 species